rnacentral:lncRNA from 1 species
CAGAGCGUGUCUUCCAGCUUUGGGCAAUGAGCUCUUUACUGAAAGAGAGAGGAGGAGAGAUCCCGCAAGUUGAAUAAAACUGGACUUUUCUCCUGGAGCCCAGAGAUUUAACAUGCACCAUCUCCCCAGCAAACACAAAUGCCUCCUGUGGGGACAGAAACCACAAUCAAAAGCCCUCGAGCAGUCGCCCCGGCCAACGGCACCUGCCCCGGGGGUCCACGCCUGCCCUCCCCGCCGGUAGCUCCUGCCUGGCCCUGGGAAACAUCUUCCCACUUCAGCCCCGAGCAUCCACCCGUCUGCCGCGCUGGAUCAGGCCUCAUCAGCGCUGUGUUCCAGCCUCAUUCCUCAUCCUCUGCUCCCGGGAUUUCAGCGCAGCCCCUCAAAACACAACCCAGAAUUUCUUGGUUAAUGGAAGGAUCAGGAAAUGGAUGGCCUGGUUAACGGAGCUUAGAAACUCUUCUUGGAAGUUUUCUGCAAACGUAUUAUUAGUCCAGCACCUUCAGUGGUGGCCAACAUGAGACUCUAUUUCAAAUCCUUGAAUACAGUGGAUCCCUGAAGAAAGGGCAGAGGCCCUCACAGCUUUGGGACAAGAUGAUGACCAUGUUUGAUUUGAUAGAAACAGCCCUGUAUAUUUUGGACUUGCAGGGACUGUGAAGCUCUUUCCACAUCUAUAGAUUACAGAGGAGCCACUGGGGGGCCCCCG